UGGGGAAUUUUGCACAAUGGGCGAAAGCCUGAUGCAGCAACGCCGCGUGACCGAUGAAGCUUUUCGGAGCGUAAAGGUCUGUCGUGAGGGAAGAACAACUUGGAUGCAAAUAGUGUUUGAGUCUGACGGUACCUCACAAGAAAGCACCGGCUAACUUCGUGCCAGCAGCCGCGGUAAUACGAGGGGUGCUAGCGUUGUCCGGAAUUACUGGGCGUAAAGGGUGUCUAGGCGAUUAGGUAAGUUGUUUGUAAAAUACCCCGGCUUAACCGGGGACCUGCAUACAAAACUAUCUGGAUAGAGUUUGGGAGAGGAAAGUGGAAUUCCUGGUGUAGCGGUGACAUGCGUAGAUAUCAGGAGGAACACCAAAAGCGAAGGCAGCUUUCUGGCCCAAAACUGACGCUGAAGCACGAAAGCGUGGGGAGCAAACAGG
rnacentral:rRNA from 1 species